rnacentral:rRNA from 1 species
GCUUUUAUUAGACCGAACCAAUGUGCUUCGGCACUUUUUUGGUGACUCUGGAUAAUUCCGCUGAUCGCAUGGUCUCGCACCGGCGACGCAUCAUUCAAAUUUCUGCCUUAUCAACUGUCGAUGGUAAGAUAUGGGCUUACCAUGGUUGCAACGGGUAACGGGGAAUUAGGGUUCGAUUCCGGAGAGGGAGCCUGAGAAACGGCUACCACAUCCAAGGAAGGCAGCAGGCGCGCAAAUUACCCACUCCCGGCACGGGGAGGUAGUGACGAAAAAUAACAAUACGGGACUCUAUCGAGGCUCCGUAAUUGGAAUGAGUACACUUUAAAUCCUUUAACGAGUAUCUAUUGGAGGGCAAGUCUGGUGCCAGCAGCCGCGGUAAUUCCAGCUCCAAUAGCGUAUAUUAAAGUUGUUGCGGUUAAGACGUUCGUAGUUGGAUCUUGGGUGACGACUGGGCGGUCCUACGCAAGUGGUGCACUUCCCGGUGGUACCUUGUCUCCAUAUUGGUGCCCGCGUCCUUCGCUGGGCGUUGGCUUCGAUGUGGACGUUUACUUUGAAGAAAUUAGAGUGUUCAAAGCA